rnacentral:lncRNA from 1 species
GCCAUGACAAACACCAGUCUCUUCUGUUGUUCCCCCAAAUCCAGCCAGCCUGGGGCUAGGAGGGCUCCCAGGCAGGCGGAGGAUCUGGAGCAAGGAGUGGGAAGAGUGGGAAAGGGAGCUGUAGAGGGAGAGGCUGACAGACUUAGUUGGGGCACUGAGGAACAGCUGGCUCACCUCAGGGCCUCUGGGAGCCAGCCCAGGCUGGGAAGAGGGCCAGAGGGGGUCAGGGACACAGGGCUCCAGGAGCCCAGGUUUGAGGGAGAGUCCUUACCUCACCUUUGGGGAGCUUCCAGUAUAGUGGUCAAGGCAGACCUCCCAUCCCAGCCCCUCCAAAGUAUGGUCAAGGUCAAGGCACAGCUUCCCUCUACCCCAGGAAGGAAGAAACUGACUUUGAUUUGGCACCCACUUGCUUGUACCAAAAAGAAGAACCUACUUCACCCUUUGGCCUAG